rnacentral:rRNA from 1 species
UACGUAGGUGGCAAGCGUUGUUCGGAAUUACUGGGCGUAAAGCGCGCGUAGGCGGCUCUUCAAGUCAGGCGUGAAAGCCCCGAGCUUAACUCGGGAACUGCGCUUGAUACUGUCGAGCUAGAGUGUGGAAGGGGCGAUUGGAAUUCCGUGUGUAGCGGUGAAAUGCGUAGAUAUCAGGAGGAACACCGAUGGCGAAAGGCAGCUACCUGGCCUAAAACUGACGCUGAGGUGCGAAAGCGUGGGGAGCGAACGGG